rnacentral:rRNA from 1 species
UGGGGAAUAUUGGACAAUGGGGGCAACCCUGAUCCAGCAAUGCCGCGUGUGUGAAGAAGGUCUUCGGAUUGUAAAGCACUUUCGACGGGGACGAUGAUGACGGUACCCGUAGAAGAAGCCCCGGCUAACUUCGUGCCAGCAGCCGCGGUAAUACGAAGGGGGCUAGCGUUGCUCGGAAUGACUGGGCGUAAAGGGCGUGUAGGCGGUUUACACAGUCAGAUGUGAAAAUCCCCCGGGCUUAACCUGGGAGCUGCAUUUGAUACGUGUAGACUAGAGUGUGAGAGAGGGUUUGUGGAAUUCC